AUGAACGCUGGCGGUGCGCUUCAUACAUGCAAGUCGAGCGCCCCUUCGGGGGAGCGGCGGACGGGUGAGUAACGCGUAGGUAACGUGCCCUGUACUGGGGGAUAACACCGGGAAACUGGUGCUAAUACCGCAUAAGAUGCAGCUUGAAAUAGCUGUAUUUAAAACUCCGGUGGUACAGGAUCGGCCUGCGUCUGAUUAGUUAGUUGGUGGGGUAAAGGCCUACCAAGACGAUGAUCAGUAGUUGGUCUGAGAGGAUGAUCAGCCACAGUGGGACUGAGACACGGCCCACACUCCUACGGGAGGCAGCAGCAGGGAAUUUUACGCAAUGGGCGAAAGCCUGACGCAGCGACACCGCGUGGAGGACGACGGUCUUCGGAUUGUAAACUCCUUUCGGCAGGGAAGAAUAAUGACGGUACCUGCAAAAGAAGCACCGGCUAACUACGUGCCAGCCGCCGCUGUAA
rnacentral:rRNA from 1 species